ensembl:lncRNA
GGGCAGGGGAGCUGCGGAGAGCACCCCAGCCACCUCGCGCCGGAGCACGAGCUUCCCGGGGAGACUCUUCUGGCCCUACAACAACUCACUCCUAACUUCCCUUACAGUGGCAUGUCAGGGGAACAACUGAUCGCCCCUCUGGUGUGCUGGCACUGGGGUUCAAGGUACUCAGGCACCCUCAAGUCACAGGAGUUUAUCAUGAAGAAGGCUGUAAGGCCAAGAAUUAAGGCCAACAGGUAAAGGUGCGGGGUGCCCACAGCAGCAGGCCUUCCUGUCUGGAAGGGAGGUGCUGCCCCGCCCUCCACCCACUCGAGCCUUGGAUACUGUCUGGGGUUUCUUGGCAAGUAGAGUUUUUAGACUCUGCCGUUAAUGGUCCCCAGCUACUCACCCAAGCUGCUUCUCUGUCUUCCGGCUUCUGCUCCUGCCACACACUGAGCACAUCUGGGGAAAGCACCUCACAGGGUCAGAGAAGUGCAAAUGCCUACAACGUCAGUCACCUGUCUCAUCGCGUCCUGUUCUUUGUAGCCAUCGCGUUCCUAUGGAUACCCUAAGGCCCAAAUUAAAUAUUACAGAAUUUUUGUUUGGCAGAGAUUGCCAACAUUAAGCCACACAACUGGUAUCACAAGACAUUGGCAGGUGAUGGCGCACCAACCCCGGGGCCAGAAGACAAGGGUCAGAAGCUCAUGGGUCAUGCCAGCUACCACUCUCUUCCUCAGGCCUUUCGUCGUAUCAGUGAGCAGCCCCCAGGGGCUCUUUGCUGCCACUGACUCCUCUCCCUGAGCCUGGACUCCAUUACUACUACCCUCCUCAGCACUCUGGCUGACUCUCUGUGCCUCCAGCCUUGUAUCUUCUGAUGUGUCUACAUCACAAAUGUGACCAUGCGAUCUCCUGCUUAAGUCCUUCCAGGAGCUCCCCACACCUGCAGGGUCAUGCUCAAAGAGCACCACAGGUGACAGGCACGGUGUGACCCAGCUCUUGCCACCACUCCAUGGGCCGUCCACUGACUUGACCUGGCCACAUCCAGCUCCUGCUCACCACUGGGCCGUCCACUGACUUGACCUGGCCACAUCCAGCUCCUGCCACCACUCCAUGGGCCGUCCACUGACUUGACCUGGCCACAUCCAGCUCCUGCUCACCACUCCAUGGGCCGUCCACUGACUUGACCUGGCCACAUCCAGCUCCUGCCACCACUCCAUGGGCCGUCCACUGACUUGACCUGGCCACUCAAGCCACUGGUAUUCCCUAGGUGGGCCCACCUCUCACGACAUGACACAGGAAGGCAGACGGUCCCACGGAAGGAACAAAAACCUCUUCACCUUGAAGACACAGUUCAAGCAUCCCCUUCUCCAAUUUUUUCCUCCUGAGUCUCCAAGUGGAACAACUCCAUCAUUGUGGCCCUAUCCCCGCGUAUAGGCCUCUGGCUCAGUACGGGUAAACUGCUAUUGGUCUUCUUAACUUCCAAGUUCUGCACAGAAAUGCACAGGCCCUGAAGGCAGCUGGCUCCAUGAGCCUUGGGACAGAGAGAAAAGCUCUGAGAAGGAAGCUUUGACACCAGAAGGGAGUCUGUCUCCAGGAAAUAACAAAAACAGACUUACAUCAAGAGGAUCACUGGAUGGAACAAAACAAAGCAAAGAGAAAGUUUAAAAUUUUCUCAGAGAGUUAAAAAUAUGAAAAAGGGAGAUGAGAAUAAAAUUUAUGGGGCUACUAUGAAUUCAUGAUUUUUAAUUAUUUAUAUC